UACGUAGGGGGCAAGCGUUGUCCGGAAUCAUUGGGCGUAAAGAGCGCGUAGGCGGCCCUGUAAGUCCGCUGUGAAAGUCAAGGGCUCAACCCUUGGAUGCCGGUGGAUACUGCAGGGCUAGAGUCCGGAAGAGGUGAGUGGAAUUCCUGGUGUAGCGGUGAAAUGCGUAGAUAUCAGGAGGAACACCUGUGGUGUAGACGGCUUUCUGGACCAUAGCUGACGCUGAGACACGAAAGCGUGGGUAGCAAACAGG
rnacentral:rRNA from 1 species